UAAAGGUGGCCUCUUCUAUGCUGCCGGGUUGGGAUCGGCCCGCGUCCCAUUAGCUAGUUGGUGAGGUAACGGCUCACCAAGGCCACGAUGGGUAGCCGGCCUGAGAGGGUGUACGGCCACACUGGCACUGAGACAAGGGCCAGUCCCCUAUGGGAGGCGCAGGCGGGAAUAGUUCACAAUGGGCGAAAGCCUGAUGACGCGACGCCGCGUGAGCGAAGAAGACCUUCGGGUUGUAAAGCUCUGUCAGGAGGGAAGAAGGCUCUACGGGUUAAUAGCCCGUGGAAUUGACGGUACCUCCAGAGGAAGCCCCGGCUAAAUACGUGCCAGCAGCCGCGGUAAUACGUAUGGGGCAAGCGUUGUCCGGAUUUACUGGGCGUAAAGGGCGCGUAGGCGGUUUGUUAAGUCGAAGGUGAAAUCCUCGGGCUCAACUCGAGAAUUGCCUUCGAUACUGGCAAACUAGAGUGGCGGAGAGGAAAGCGGAACUCUUGGUGUAACGGUGGAAUGUGUAGAUCUCAAGAGGAACACCGGUGGCGAAGGCGGCUUUCUGGACGCACACUGACGCUCAGGCGCGAAAGCGUGGGUAGCAAACAGGAUUAGAUACCCUGGUAGUCCACGCCAUAAACGAUGGGUACUAGGUGUCGGGGGUAUCGACCCCUCCGGUGCCGCAGUUAACGCACUAAGUACCCCGCCUGGGGAUUAUGGUCGCAAGGCUGAAACUCAAAGGACUUGACGGUGGCCCGCACAAGCGGUGGAGCAUGUGGCUUAAUUCGACGGCAACGGCGAAAGAACGCUUACCUGGGCUUGACACGCUUUGGGACAAGCGCUUGGAAACCAGCGUCUCUCCUUCGGGGAGGCCCUUUGCACAGGUGCUGCAUGGCUGUCGUCAGCUCGUGUCGUGAGAUGUUGG
rnacentral:rRNA from 1 species